UUAGCAACCGCCUAGCAACCACCCAGAACACCCUAGCAACCACCUAGCAACACCUUAGCAACCACCCUAAAGCACCCUAGCAACCGCCUAGCAACACAUUAGCAACCACCCAAAGUACCUUAGCAACUGCCUAGCAACCGCCUAGCAACCACCCAGGUUACCAUAGCAACCGCCUAGCAACCACCUAGCAACACCUUAGCAACCACCCCAAGUACCUUAGCAACUGCCUAGCAACCACCCAGAACACCCUAGCAACCGCUUAGCAACACCUUAGCAACCACCCCAAGUACCUUAGCAACUGCCUAGCAACCGCCUAGCAACCACCCAGAACACCCCUAGCAACCGCCUAGCAACA
ensembl:lncRNA